AUUGGGAUUUCCUGCUUGUCAUCAAUUCAUAGUGGCCAAACGUAUUUUACUUUGUGUAACUCAAUUUUCUCGGCAAAGUGCCUACUGCGACAACUUGAUUUUCAGUUACUUAUUCGUCAAGUUUCCAUAUAAAUAAUGAAUCAAGGAAGAAUAUUUAGAGAAGAAAUCGUCUGGAGUGUUUUGGCAAAAUUGCCAAAAAAUUUCUCAUCCGGACAAAGAAAAUGUUGAGGCACAUCGAGAGUUUGCUUUGAGGUCGGAAGAAGAAUCGUCAAGUGAAGAUAUAUGCACGAUAUUUAAGAAUAAAAAAAGAAAAGGAAAAAAAUGUCCACUCGCCUCGAAAAUUUUCCGAACGAACAAGGAAAGUCUUUGACCUUUUUCCCUCUAUUUUUUCAACUCCAUUCUUUUUUUGUUUUUUUUUUGGCAAAAAUCUUGGCUGCUUUCUCUUCAGAGGAAGCAAAAGUGUAACCAUCGAUCUACCUUGCGGGAUGCGCAGGGACUUUGGGGAAGACUUCUAGAUGCCAAACCAG